rnacentral:sRNA from 1 species
UAGCCAAAGUCGCCAGCGCCCUAAAUCCAGUAAUAACCAUCGUAUCGCCAGCUCCUUCAACAAAUUCUUGACCGCUUAUUUCUCACUUUAACCCCUGUCUACCGCCGCAUCACGACAUCAUUGCGAUCCUCAUCCAUUAUCGCCUGAACACCACCCUCAUCUCGACUAUCGGACCCGAUAACAUUCUCCUUGAGUCCUACCAUCCAGUUUGAAAACCUAUACUACCGUAUUUAAAGUAUACGUAUUUACAUAACAAACGACUAGCAUGGCCGCCAGUCCGACUCGGCGAAGUUCUCGGAGAAAGGAUAUCUGGGCCGCUUGAGAAAUUCGUACACCCACUUUCGUCCACUCUGCCGGCCCGGACCGUGGAUUCACACCAACCAUGUACAUGAUUCCUGCCUCGGGAUAUGUGCCGGUGGAAUCUGUUAACUCGGAACAAUCUGAUAACGUGUUCAUCAGAGGCUUCAUUUUCCUUGAUGAGAAUGAGGUAUUCUCGCAGCUUGUUACGGGUAUUUGGCUUAGGAGACGGAAUCGGCAGAUAUAUCUUCUGGGUAGCGGUGUUGUAAGGCUUUGAAAAAGUGGCUAUGUGGUAGUGGGGUGAGCUACCAUACUUUGAAGGUAGGAGAUGAGAAUGUCAAUAGAGGGACACGAGUUUAUCCCUCAGAAGACAAUAGCGUUGUCUGGCUCAAAAGGAAAACGGGCUGGUCUCAAGUUCCGUUCUUGUCAACAGAAGCGAACGGAAGGGCGGCUGUUUGCAGAUGAUUCUGGAAGCGAUGAGGUUGCAAUGAUGAUGAGAAUAAUCCAGUCCGUUACGACGUUGAGAUUGAAGGUUGGUAUCACGUUCGUACUUCUCUUCGACCCUUGUUAUUCACGAGGUUUCCUCUCUACACAUCUCUUUCUUCGAAUUUGGCUUUUUGAUCAAAGUUUCUCGUGCGAACUGCAACUCUUUUGUUAGCGAUCGAGAACGGCUGGUACAUACAGUGAUUUUGUGAGGGCGAACAUGGCUGGGACCAUGGGUGGUAUCCUUUCAUUCUCAUAUAUCACCGUGUCCAUGAAGUCCCCCCCGAGAUAAAACACUUCGGAUAGAAUAGGCGGCUUGGCUAACGGUUCUGUCACCCUGUACGGAGCUCUUGCCUGUUCAAUUUUGUGAUGACACAAUUGCUUUUCAUUUCUUUUUUCUUAGUCUCACUAGAAAUAACCAUAAACCUGUACUCAGCACCAUUUGAUACCCACAGCCAACACUCCCAUCGACCACAGAAGGUGAAACUAAAUGGAGUAGCCUUACUUCCUAAUUCUCGAAUUUUAAACCUCCUUCCUCUCUCACGACCCCAUAUAUAGCCGCGAGGUCUCCCUUCUCCCCCUGACGUUUCUUCACACCUUGCAAAUACUCAUCCGCCAGCUCCAGCCCUCUCAUCCUCACGCCCACACUGCGCGCCACAUCCAUGGCAUGCUUCGCAUCCUUCCGUGCCAAAUCUGCUGCAAAUAACGGUUCAUCGCGCCUAUAGUAAUCCCCGGAACGCAUGCGGUUCGAAUACCCGACAUACAUGCCCGGAUACAUCAGUUCAAGAAAGUUAUGCAGCGUGUCAACACCAAGUCCAGACUUCUCAGCUACUGUCAUAGCUUCAGCGACUGCAUCCACGAGGUUCAACCCCAGAGAGUUACCCAUGAUUUUAAGCAAGCUUGCGCGUCCGGGGUCCACGACGACGUCCUCAUUGCCAGCAGCACCGGUUGGUGGAGUUGACACGUCCAAAUUUAUCCGGCCCAUAACGCCCGCGCAGAAUGGCUUAACCCUUUCCACCAAAUCCUUCUUCCCAGCCAGCACGCAUACCAGCUGUCCGGCGUCAGCGACGGGGGCGGUUCCAAAAACGGGACAUGCCACGAAAGAGCCCCCAUGCAACUCCACCAAUUUUGCCUCACUCCGUGAAGUAUCCGGGUGUACCGUCGAGCAGUCUACGAAUAGCUUUCCGGCAAUGUCGCAAGUGCUUAUGGCUGUUUGAAGUGCUUCAGUGACAGCGUUGUCGUCUGAGAGACAGAUGAAGAUGAUGCUUGAAGGUGCGACGGCUUCUGUGAUUGUCGGCACGACGGUGACUGGCUUAGACAGAGUGGGAGCUAGCUCAGUUGCGCGAGACUGUGUUCUGUUGUAGAUUAUCAGAGGGGUUUGGAAUGGAUAUUUGGCAACGAGGUUUUUUAUCAUCCCCUAAAUUUAAAGGCCUUGGUUAGUUGAUCUGAGGUCAUUUUGUCGGGAAUAGCUCGACAUACCCGUCCCAUGUUCCCCAGGCCAAUCCAGGCUACUUGUUCUGCCAUUUUCCGUUAUUUCUAGGAGUAUACGUUACGCUACUUUUGUGUUUUUGAUAAUUGAACGGAUUUGUUGCUCAAUGCCGUGGAUCAAUGUGCUCCGUAUCAAUCUAUGUAUGUCUCUCCUGUUUCCAAGAUGUUCACUUAGCAUGGAUAGCACAAGGCCUGCUUUACAUUAAAGACGCAGACCAUGUUGCUGCUUUAUACUCGAAGUUGUCAGCCUGUGAAAUCGCCGGCGACUUGUCUCCAAGGCCGCCGGUAAGCACUACAUGGGUUACAAAUCUCAGCUGAAAAUUUCCGUGUGAUGUCAUUCCGUCGACGAGUUACCCCUCAUAUUCCGCUCAUGAUAAUGAAACCCCAAUUCUAAUUUACAACACAAAUGCCUGAAUUAUAUUCCUCACCCUAACCCACCCCUAGAUGCUGACAGUGCUGAGUAUAUUAGAAAUAAGUAUUAGUCAUGUCACGAGCAUAUCCACUAGUUAUUGAAUGUAUCAAUAUGGCAGCUGGGGCUUUUCACUAAGCAGUCCUCAUUGCAGGCUGCGAAUUCCACGAAUUCUUGAGAACAUGGAACAUUCAUAUCUUUUCAUUAUGACAAUCGUUCAAUUUCUCUCAGUUUAAAGCACAUAGUUCUAUUGAAGGAGGAUUGAGAUGCAAAAAUUUUCGAGAAUAAACGAUUGAAAACCGUCC